CGACCUGAGCUCAGGCAAGAUUACCCGCUGAACUUAAGCAUAUCAA
rnacentral:rRNA from 2 species